UACGUAGGGUGCAAGCGUUGUUCGGAAUCAUUGGGCGUAAAGCGCGUGUAGGCGGUUAGGUAAGUCGAUUGUGAAAUCCCUGGGCUCAACCGAGGAAGUGCAGUCGAAAACUACCUAGCUAGAGGACGGCAGAGGAUGGUGGAAUUCCAAGUGUAGAGGUGAAAUUCGUAGAUAUUUGGAGGAAUACCGGUGGCGAAGGCGGCCAUCUGGACCGGUCCUGACGCUGAGGUGCGAAAGCGUGGGGAGCAAACAGG
rnacentral:rRNA from 1 species